GUGUUCACUUUGGAAGCAGAUAUACUAAAAUUGGAAUGAGGAUUAGCAGUGCAGUGCAAAGAUGACAUGCAGUUUGUGAAGUGUUCCAUAUUUUU
rnacentral:snRNA from 1 species